AGCUCCUCCUAGCUAAUUUGCA
rnacentral:miRNA from 1 species